rnacentral:rRNA from 1 species
AUUGAACGCUGGCGGCAUGCCUUACACAUGCAAGUCGAACGGCAGCACGGGAGCAAUCCUGGUGGCGAGUGGCGAACGGGUGAGUAAUAUAUCGGAACGUGCCCAGUCGUGGGGGAUAACGUAGCGAAAGCUACGCUAAUACCGCAUACGAUCUACGGAUGAAAGCGGGGGAUCGCAAGACCUCGCGCGAUUGGAGCGGCCGAUAUCAGAUUAGCAGUUGGUGGGGUAAAAGCCCACCAAGGCGACGAUCUGUAGCUGGUCUGAGAGGACGACCAGCCACACUGGGACUGAGACACGGCCCAGACUCCUACGGGAGGCAGCAGUGGGGAAUUUUGGACAAUGGGCGCAAGCCUGAUCCAGCAAUGCCGCGUGCAGGAC